GCUUGUCUCAAAGAUUAAGCCAUGCAUGUCUAAGUAUAAACAACUUUAUACAGUGAAACUGCAGAUGGCUCAUUAAAUCAGUUAUAAUUUAUUUGAUGAUUAACUUUACUACAUGGAUAACCGUAGUAAUUCUAGAGCUAAUACAUGCGAAAAGUCCUGACUUCUUCGUGAGGGAGGGAUGUAUUUAUUAGAUACAAUCAAACGCACCAACAUAAAACCUUGGUGAUUCAUAAUAACUGUUCGGAUCGUAUGGCUUUUUGCCUCCGAUAGUUCAUUCAAAUUUCUGCCCUAUCAGCUUUCGACGGUAGUGUAGUGGACUACCGUGGCGUUAACGGGUAACGGAGAAUUAGGGUUCGAUUCCGGAGAGGGAGCCUGAGAAACGGCUACCACAUCCAAGGAAGGCAGCAGG
rnacentral:rRNA from 1 species